rnacentral:rRNA from 1 species
GACGAACGCUGGCGGCGUGCUUAACACAUGCAAGUCGAACGGUAAGGCCCUUCGGGGUACACGAGUGGCGAACGGGUGAGUAACACGUGGGUGAUCUGCCCUGCACUUCGGGAUAAGCCUGGGAAACUGGGUCUAAUACCGGAUAGGACUCCUGGCUCCAUGGUUGGGGGUGGAAAGAUUUUGCGGUGUGGGAUGGGCCCGCGGCCUAUCAGCUUGUUGGUGGGGUAAUGGCUUACAAAGGCGACGACGGGUAGCCGGCCUGAGAGGGUGACCGGUCACACUGGGACUGAGAUACGGCCCAGACUCCUACGGGAGGCAGCAGUGGGGAAUAUUGCACAAUGGGCGCAAGCCUGAUGCAGCGACGCCGCGUGAGGGAUGACGGCCUUCGGGUUGUAAACCUCUUUCAGCUAUGACGAAGCGCAAGUGACGGUAGUAGCAGAAGAAGGACCGGCCAACUACGUGCCAGCCGCCGCCGUAA